CUCCAUUGCUUUACGAAGUUCUAGCCAUCUCCCCACGUGUCGACCCUUUUGUCCGUCAACGCUUCGGCGAGAACGAGUCCCCCAACUUUACAAAGCCUGUGCGCACCCGAUGCAAUCGUCCCGUUUGCUAUCACCUCGGUCGCUGCACCCCCAUCCCAUGCUUUGCAAAGCUUAAGCCGUCUCCCUCUUCCUGAUAACGCUUCGGUGAAGACUAGUCCAAAUUUUUAUAACGCUUUAACGUGCCCGACGCGAGCGUAUCAUUGGCUCAUCGCCUCGGCUCUGUGUCUUUCCANAAUUUUGUUUUUUUCGUGGCAAAGGUAGAAACUCUGGUAAGCCCCCAAAGUUCACCUUUUAUAGGAAAGACGAAUCCAAUCUCCACCUUUGAAUUCAAAUACGAUCAAUCUAAACCGUCCGUUGUAUUCUCGAUCCCAGCCGUUGAAAUGAAACGCCAGAUUUGAUCUACGCCCAAGAUGUCGCUGUGGCUUUCACGCUAAAUUGAAACGCGUCGCCUCGGUUACCAACAGCCGUC
rnacentral:lncRNA from 1 species